ensembl:lncRNA
GUGAGUCGCGGGGCGGGGGCCAGGAGCCGGUCUCGGGGUAGCCGAGGUGGGAUGGGAUGAGGGGACGCCCGUCUCGGGCGCGGGCCGGGAUCGACCCGGGGGCGGCGGGCAGCCCGGGCGAGGGGGCGUGAGCGCACCCGGCGCGGUGUCGCUCGCGUGCCUGGCGGGCGCUCCCGGGCGCUGUCCCUAGCCGAGGGUCGGCGUGGGGGGGCGGGCCGCCGUCCGAGCCUCGGCCAAGUUGGGGCGGGGAGGAAGGCGGAGGCGUCAGUGGCCACCUCUUCUGAGGUGCUGGGUGUCGUCUGGAAGGCUGCCGGGUGUUCUGUCGGGGCGAGCGACGGUGGCGGGGCCGGAGGAGUGGGUGGCGAGGAGCUUCGAGGUUGUGGCGUGAGACGCUUAGGGGCCGACCCUCAGAUGCAGCCCUACCCCCACAGCGGGGCAGCACCGUGACACAUGGUACCUGCAGGCCACGUCGCAGCUGGCCAGGCGGCCACGGUUUCGGGGAUCCCCCACCGCGGACCCUCGAUGUCCCCGACGACGGAGCAGGGUGAAGGCAGCAUGAGUGAUCCCUGAAUGUGCCCUUGGGCAUACUUAGCAAUUCAUUUUUGAUUAGGAGAAAGAAGACAGCCAUUCAUUUGAAAAAUUCAACAGUGAAGCCAUCAGGACCUGGGCUUUUCCUUUUUGGUAAGUUUUUAAUUAUGUUUUCAAUUUCACUGAUUGAAAUUGGGGUGUUUUGAAUUUUUAGGUCUUCUUUGUUCACCUUUGGCAAUUCAUAUGUAUCUAGAAAUCUGACCAUUUCUUCUGUUUUCUCCAUUUUAUUGGAGUACAGGUUCUCGAAGUAGUUAUUGAUGAUCCUGUGGAUUUCUGCUGGAUCUGUUGUGAUUUCACCCCUUUCAUUCCUAAUUGCAUGGAUUUGAGCCUUUUCUUUCCUUUUUUCUGAUAAGGUUGGCUAAGGGUUUCUCAGUUUUAUUUAUUCUUUCAAAGAAUCAACUCUUGGAUUCAUUGAUUUUUUUGUAUCAUUCUUAGUCUCCAUUUGAUUUCUGCUCUGAUCUUUAAAAUUUUCCCCCUUGUAUGAGCUUUGGGUUUGUCUUGCCCUUCUGUUUUUAGGACCUUGAGGUUCAGCAUUAGACUGUUUAUUUGAGCUUGCUCUGUUUUCCUAUUAUGGGUAGUUACUGCUAUGAAUUUUCCUCAUAGAACUGCUUUUAUUAUAUCCUGUAGGUUCCUGUAUGUUAUAUUGGCCUUAUCACUUAUUGUAGAAACUGUCUAAUUUCUUCUUUAAUUUCCUCUGUGAACCUGGCUAUGAUUAUGAUUGUAGAUCAUUAUACAUUAUUGUCAGGAUCAGUUAUCUGUGGUUCUUGCAGGGUAGCUGUGGACUGUUCUGUAUUCCAGUCUCAAGGUACCUUUUGUCUAAGUAUUUCUUUAUAGAUAUUUAUGAACUAGGGCUGUCCAUUUUGAGCAUAAUUUAAAAUAAGUCUAUUUAAGUGUGUCAUUUAUGACAGUGGUGGCUUCUUAAACUGCUGUUUUUGAGAUUUGAACAAAAGCUUAUUGAUGGCAGUAAAGGUUCUUUGAAAGAUAUAUUCAGAAUGAGCUAUGUCUAGUCAUAGGACUCUUGGAAUGAUCUAGGUUGCUUUUCAUUCUUUGCUGUACAUAUAGUUGUUCUUGGAAAAGGAAAGUAAGUGGCAAAGGGUCCUGAGGCAAAGGGGCUUUUAAGGAUGGGUUAAGGGAAGAUAUUUUUGAGCCUAGUGUGUUCAGGAUUAUUUAAAUAGGGAGUAAUUUUUUAAAACUUUCUAAAGAAGUAGAACAAACCUACAGAAAAUCCACAUUUUAUAAAUGUAUUCCUUAAUUUAAUCUCACAAACUGAAUACACCCAUGUAAUCAGCACCUAGGUUAACAAACAGCAUUGUCUACACAACUUCAUCUCUCCUUCUAUACACUGUUCUGCUUUCUGCAUGGAAACUACAGGCAUAAAUUGGUUUUGCCUGUGUUUCUUUCAUGUGUGAAUGUGUGUGUAUACAAUAUAUAAUGCAGAUUGUAUUUUGUGUCUCUGGCUUUUCUCAUUCAACAGUGUAUUAGAGAGGUUCCUCCCUAUUAUUGUAUAUAGUUAUAGAUUGUUUAUUAGUAUUGCUAUAAAGCAUUCCAUGAGAAUAUUACAAUUUAGUUAAUCUGUAGAUGCAAGUAAUUUUGGGGAGUUUACCCAUCAUGGGUAUUCAUAUUUAUAUUGCCCAGCUUCUGCAAUAUGAAGAAGUCCUAACAUCUGGUAGAAGAUGGGGACACACACAGGAGAUGUGUAUGUGGUUUCUUCAGUCCUAUAAGGAGUCCUGCUGCUCUCCCUGUGACUCAUUUUGACCCUUUUUACUUUGUUCCUUGCUGAUACUUGUCUUCUAUGUCCUGCUCUGCCAUUGUUAUUCUCUGUAUAGCCUUGUGGGGGAGACUAUUUUAGAAAAGAUCAAACAGCAGGAAAUCAAUGAAUAUUUAAACUUCAUUAGGUGUUGAUAAUAGGUGUUAGAUGAAAGAGCAAAGAGUUAGAAGUUAUGGGGUUGGACUUAAGGAGCCUGUGUUGUGGUUAUGGAUAUGGUCCACUUCUCUGGGAACCAAUUAUACUACAGAAUUCACAGAUGUAAAUUUCCUGUAAUCUGCCUUCCCUCUAUGGGUGAUGUUUUAGAUUGGCCCAGUAGAUCUGAUUAGCCACCUUUAUCCUUGUACUGACUAGCAUUCAUACCAGCAUGGGCCAGGCUGGUAACAGGACUGAAAUUAGGAGGAAGUGAUGGGCAUUGUGGAGAUUGACCCAGCAAAACAUGUCUGGCUGAAUUUGGCAAGUCAACCAAUUUCUCAUCUUUAGGGAAUAGAGAGUUCAGUAUAAGAAAGUGUUUUCUGUAGGAUUUGGAUAUUAUCAUGACCAAAAUCUGUUGUUGUAAAUAAAGUUUUAUUCAAAUAAUCAUGCUCAUUUGUUUACCUAUUGUAUUAUAACAGUAGAGUUGAAUAGUUGUCAAAGAGACCAGGAUUGAGUAAUUGCAAUGUGACUAUAUAGUCCACAAACUCAAAAAUAUUUACCAUAUGGUCCUUUACAAAAAAGUUUGCCAACUCUUGUUUUACUUUGUAAAAGAAAGGGGAUAAUAGUGAUAACCUCCAUACUCAUAAUAAUCUGAGCCCAUUAUAUAAAUUUCUGUUAAUGCCUCCAUCCAUCCGUCCACUCACUCACCCACUCAUCUAUCCUUCCGUCUAGCUAUGUAUGCAUCCAUCCGUUUAGAGUGGUUGUUAUAUUUUAGGCAUAAAAUGAUGAUAAUCAGAUAAGGUUUUUGCUGUUAUGAGUUAAUGAGGUUUAUAUGAUUCUGAAUUCCAUUGUAAGAUUAUUUUUAUGUGUGAAUGAAAACAAAAAUAUAAUAUGGAAAUAGAAUUACCAAUUCCUAAUUUAAAGCUAAUGUUUCAGCUAUCUUUAUUAGUUUUAUAAAUUAAGUAAACACUUAUUCUUCAUAAUCUAAUGGUUACUUUAGUUAUGAGGAGUAUGUGGUGACAUAUACAUCAAUUAUUACAGUCUUACAAGUCCUUAUUGUUUACAUGUGGCAACCCUAGACUGUUUGAGGGCAGCUUUGUUUGGAGAAGGGCUGAGGAGCUUUUAAAGUGCCUUAUCAAAGCAAGCCAAGUAGACCUGUAACCUUUUACUACUUUAGUAAUAAAUAAUAAAUGUCAAUAGAAAGAACAGCAAAAUAGUAAAGUUUGGAAUGUCUUGUAGCAAAUAAAUCCAUCUCUGUGUGCUUAUCUGUUUUCUUACUCAAGAUCAUAAAGUACUCUUUCUGCUCAAUAGGAGUCCACAGAAGGCAUUUUAAUGAACACAGAAAACAUAGAAACAUUUUUUUAUAUUUCUCUAAGGAGUUGGAUUUUAAACAUCUUUUUGACCCAGUUAUCAUUUUUAUAUGUGUUCAUAUGUAUUUCAUGGAUAGAUACUUUGGGUGAAUAACCAUUUCUUACCCUGAGACUACUGUCAGACCACCCACAGGAAGCACAGUCAGAUCCUAUUGAGGCAUCAUUAGCUACAAAGGCUGUUUUCCUCAACCCAAGAGGUGUUUUAGGCAGUGAGACUGGACAUUUAAUUGGAUAUUGUAGUUGCAAUUAUUCAGUUGUGUUCAGUAAUUCAAAGCUGUGAAAAUGCAUGAAGCCCUGUAUGCACAUCACUUUAGGAACAAUCAGACAUGAAUGCUAUCUGCUGUCUUUUGAGGCAAUGAUUGUGAUGACUGGUAGUGCUUUACUCUGAAAUCUUAGACUUCUGAAGGAAAUGUAGAGGAGUGUUAGCUGGUGGAAUGAAUAUUUUAAUGGAUGUGACUAAAACUCCAAACUGGUUGAUUUUAUUGCCCAACUUGAUAAAUAAAGUUUAUUGUAGUUAAUCUUCUGUAGGAGAAAGAAAUGACACGUUGCUAUGUUUCAAAUAUUGUUUAUCCCCAGUAUAGUUUGAGUUUAGAUGUCCUCCCAAAGCCUCAUGCAGAGGAGGUGGGACUCUCUUUUUCAGGGGUAGUUGAAUCUGGAAUGUGUGAUGCUGGAGUUAAGGGUGAGUGAUUAGUCUGGCACCACCCAAAUCCCAGUAGUGUGAAUAAGAUAAAGGGAGCAGAAAGAUGCUGUUAAACUCUGUUGUUACCUUUGCUGCCUUGUGUGCACCAUGUUGUUUCUGCUCUGCCAUGCCUGUUUGCCUUGAAGUCGGCCAAUUAUGGACUGAAACUUCUAAAUGUAAGCCAAAUAAACCCCUUCCCUUUUAACUUUGGGUGUCCGAUAUUUUGUCCCAGCAACGAGAGAAAAGUAACUAACAUAUCCCUCAAAGGUUUAUGUGCUAGCAACUUGGUCCUCGGCAUGACUGUUGAGAGGUGUGGGAUGUUUAAGAGGUGGGGCCUAAUGUAUGGUGACUAGGUCAAUGGGGGUGCAGUCCUCAGGGAUUAAUGUGGUUCUUUAACACCUGCAGUUAGUUCCGUGGGUUGUUGAAGGGAGCCUGGCUCCUGAAUCCAUCUUUUGCAUGUGCCAUUUACACUUUUGCAUGUUCCCUCAUCACUGUAAUGCCAUCCUCCAUGAGGUCCUCACUAGAGCUGAGCAAAUGUUGGUGCUAUGCUCUGGAGUCAUGCUUUUGAACCUCAGAACUAUGAGCUAGAUAAACCUCUUUACAAAUCACCCACUAUCAUGUUAUAGCAAUAGAAGAUGGACUAAUAUGUUAUCUUUUCAUAUCAUUUUGAUAUGAUUUAAAAUGGUUUAAAAGUUUAAAGUUGUUUUUUUGGGGCAGUGUUGGUGACUGAACCCACACCUUGUAUAUAUAUAGGCAGGUGUUCUACCAAUGAGCUAUACUCUGUCCCCAUUUUAGUAUUUAUAUUGGCUUAGAUAUAGAGGAAAGCUUGACAGUUGAGGAAAUAAAUAUCACAGUUAUUUUUCUUUAUAAAACUAGAAGCUGCAGGCUUAACUCCUUUGGUUAAAAAUAAAGUUUUCCUGAAGCAAAUCUGAUGAUAAGCAAAAUCAUUUGUGGUCUGGCAUUAGAAAAAGUAGUUUUUCUUUUCUAUAUAAUAUAUGAAGUUACCCUGUCAAGAACUCUAGCUGCAGGAGUGUUGAUUUUUCAUGGCCAUCUAAUUAAAAUUUACUUAACCAGCCUCUCAAGCUUUAUUUUCAGAAAGGGGAAAGUACUGAAGUGCAGAUAAAUAUAGCUUGAUAGAGCAAAAUGUGUUUUAGAAAGAGUAUCAGGAUGAUUCUCUGGGUUUCAAAUGACAGAAAACCCAGUUCAAACUGCUUUAAGUGAAAAAAAAAUUUAUUGGUGCAGGUAAUUAAAAAUCUAGGGGUAGAUCUGCUCAAGAGGAGCUUGACUGGGAAUCCACCAGAUAUCAUAAGGAUCCACCUCAGCUGUGUGUUUGUGGCCUGUAUAUGGCUAUCUCCAGCAGCUUCAGGGUUGUAUCAUUAAAUGAUUAUCCGAGAUAACACAAACAAUAUACGUAACCAUGAUUGACCAUAUGAUUAGUGCUGGGCUAGUCGCUGUGGCUAAGAUCAUUGGCCUGUUUUUAUUGGUGUACUUUACCCCUAGAUCCUAAAGUCAGGUAUCUUUAGCCAGAGAAGAAACAGAUUGAUGGACAGUAGCUAGUGGUUCCCUCCAGAGAUAAAUCAAAGUAGUUAUAAGAAGAAGCAGUGGGUACUGAAGUGUACAAUCACUUUUAUAAUUACUAUUGGAUCUUUUUAAGGUUUGGAAACCAUUUUCAGGUAUAUUCUUUUGUUUGACCUGAAAGAUAUAUUAGGGAGACAGAAUAAAAUGAUUAAGAACAUGGAUUCUGGGGCCAGACUGGGCUCAAUUAUUAGCUACAUAAGCCUUUGAUCAAUUUCUUAACCUCUUUGUGCCCCAGUUUCUUCAAGUAUGCAAUAGAAUAAAAGUAUUUACCUUAUGGGCUUUUGGGAAGGAUCAAAUUAAUGGAUAUUUGCAGGGCACACAGAACAGCAGCUAACGCAUGCUAGCUUCUCUGUACCCUGCCAGCAAAGGAGCAGUGUCCUGUCCUUUUUGUAGACAGUUGAGAAAGUCUGGAGUCACGUGACCUGUAAGUGUCAGGUCCUCACUUCUUCCCUGUCCUCACACUUGGCUCUGUUUUACAACUAUGGGGGGAUGUGUGGGUUAAUAAUAAGUCAAGGAAGCAGAGAUGAAAAAGCUCCUACAAAGUAAACCUAUUUUGUGGAAGUACUGAAAUUUUAUAAGAAGGGCAAAUGGAUAUCCUAACUGUGAAUUGAUCUUAAGCUUCCUAUGUGAAGUGUGCCCCAGGUAUGUUUCUGGGAGCAUUACUUUGGAGAAGUUCACUGGCAUUUUUCCACCCUAGUAGAAACAUGCUUGGGUACAACAUUCAUGUGUAUGCAGAGGGCCCUCACUUACUCAUGAAGUGUUCGCUGAUUAUUUAAUCAGAUCCAGGGUUCUAAGCUCUAGAAGGAAUGAAGAGUUUUGUGGUAGGCGGUGAUUUAAACCUGUCGGUAUAGUGUGAGGAUAUAAUUAGGUUGGACUGUUGCAGAACGUUGUUGCCAGGGAUUUUAGCUCUGUUUAGAAGUAGUCACCAUUUUGCUUCUAAGAAUAUUGUAUUUUCCCACAAUUGCUAAGAAUGUUUUGUCAUUCUUAAUGAAGGAGGCUUGCUCUGGGGACUCAGAUGUUGACAUGGCCCAGACCUCUAGGGAGGGUCAUGUUGCUUUCUGAGGGUAGUGACAAUGGUUUCUUUGUAUUUACUGUGGAAGCAAGAAUGGAAACAUAAAAUAUUACUCUGGGUAUGAUACACUCCAAAAAUAUGCAGCUAUGAAAGCAAGUAAAAAGUAAGCAGAAAGCAGUGUUGGCUGUGUCUGCAGUGCUUUUGAGGAAAAUAGUGCUAUUCAGUAUUUACAAAGUGUGCUUCAUGGCAAGAGCCUGCUUUACUGUAGUGACACUCUGCCCUGCAAUGCUGUUUCCUCCCCCAGUGCAUUUGUGCCUGGAGGUAGGUGCUCAGUUAUUUCUUGAAUGAAUGAACCUAUCUGGAACUAUGCCUUUGCUUUUAUUUUCAAUUUCUUUUGACAAGAAUUUUUUUACCUUGUCAAUGUCGUAAGAAUUUUAGCCUGAGUCCUACAUUUCUUUUUGUCUGAACACAUUAAUUUUGUUGUCUCUUUAGGUGAAGGUGGUAUUUGAGUAUUGAUUCCAAAACUGGUUGUACAAUCAUAUUUAUAUUCCAAUGACAAUACCUAUUCAGCAAGUAGAGGGAUUAGCUACUUAUUCUGUAGAAAGACCCUACAUUUGGCAAAUACUUGUGAGAAUCAUAAUAGUAUUGUAGAUUUAAUCCUGCUUGCUUUGUUUUUAGCUCCUUGGGAGCCUUUUGUCUUGUUGAGUAGUCUGGGAUUAAGUAUUAAUAGUUUCUUUGUCACCUUCAACCUGACCCCAUUUUAUACCUUAGAAAACAGUCAAACUUUAUUUUUUGUAGUAUCACCAACAGAAGUAAUAACACUGUUAUGAGUAUUAACUUAUUAUGUGAUGGGUACCACCUUGAGUUCUUUUAUUGAUUAUCCUGUUUAUUAUUCUCUACAACUCUAUGAUCAUCAUCUUCCAGUUGAGGAAAAAGAGUGCAGUCAGAGUAUGAAUGGGUGGCUAGAGAUCUUAGCAGUCACCUACACUGUAGUGCCAACUGGUAUGGGCCAGUAUCCAAGCCAGGGUCUCUUAAACUGGCUGUUCAUUAGAAUCACCCUGAGGUAUUAAAAAGCACUCUCAUCCUUUACAUUAUUCUUGGUCUGGGAACUCAGGUGAAAUAUAUGUGUAUUCAUCACUGGAAACCUUUGAACCAGGGCAGUAGUUCUUAAAAUUUGGUCCCUGUAUCAGAAUCAGUAGCAGAGGAAAUUCUUAGACCUUACCCAGACAUCAUCCUGAAUUGAAAGUGGUGUUGGGGGUCUAUCAAUGAGCAUUUUAAUGUGCCCUCCAGCUGAUACUUUUUUUUUUUUUUUUUUGUACCGGGAUUAAACUCAGGACCUUGUGCUUGGAGGCAGGUGGGGUGGGUGCCACUGAGCUAAAUCUCCAGCCCCUGAUACUUUUUAAAAAAAGUGUGGUAAAAUAAAAUAAAAUAAAAUUCACCAUCUGUUGUAUUAAGUAUAUUCACAUUGUUCUGUACCAGAUCUCUAGAACUUUUUUGCAAAUCUGAAACUCUAUACCAUUAAACAACUCCCUUUCUGUCCUUCUCUCUAACCUCUGCUGAUCACUAUUCUACUUUGUUUCCAUGAAUUUUACUGCUACAUAUACCUCAUAUAAAUGGAACACCACCAAUUCAUAUACAUAUUCAAGUUUGAGAACCACUGAACUCCAAAACUUGAUUUUGCUCAUUUACCCCUAGACUCCUACUCACAUUAUCAGCCAUUGUAUGGCUCAGGCUUACAUUGAGUCCAGUGGGCUCUUGUCCUUCCUUGUGGUUGUGAGUCAUGUUGAUCAAGUUGCUCAGUUUCCCUGAGGUGGUUUCCUUAUCUGUAUACAGGGGAUAGAUAACCUAACUGUCAGAGUUGUGUUAAAUGUUAAUGAUUAGAUAUAUGUGAAAAUAUUUUGUAAGUUGCCAGGGGUAUACCAGAGAACUAAGUGAAGAUUAUAAUAUUCAUUUCUUUUUAAUGUUUAGGUUUUGAUUUUUAAGAACUCUGCAGUUCUACAAGCCUGUGUAUAAAAAACAUUCAUCUCUUCGUGUAACUUGUCCCUGCUCCCCCAUUUUUUAACUCUGAUGUUUACCUUAUACUGUGUAAAUAAGAUUCACAGAUGUGCUAUAUAAUAUAGUUUGAUGAUCUUAACUUUCUUGUUCUGUAGGCUUGCUGUGUACCUCAGCUCAGGAAUUUGUUCAGUACCAUUCUGGGAUUUCAUGAAUCCUGCUCCUGUAUUGGCUUCUCUCUCCCUCAUUUCAUAUUCCCAUUUUUCCUUGUUUUACUCCCUUAUUUUGGUGAAGCACAUCUUCUGGAAGCUUCCUAAUAAAUUGCAAAUGGGAGAUAAGACUUUAGUUGUUGUACAUCUGAGAAUGUCACAUUAAUAAAUAAUUGAUAGUCUGGCUGGGUGUAGAAUUCCAAAUUGUAAAUCACUGAGCCACGGAACAGAAUUGCAUUGCUCAUUGUCUCCCUGCAUCUAGCCUCCAUGGUGAAAAGGCCAAGCCCUGCUGCUUGGCAGACCUUUGUAGGUGUCCUCUUUUUCCUACUUUUCCCUUCCUGGGUUCCUACUUCUUUUUAUCUUCACUAAUGUGAAAUUUCAUAAUAAUAUUCCUUGGUAGGAGUCUACUUUUGUAUCUGGUGCUGAGAUCCAGACACUUUUAGUCUAAAAACUCUCAUUUUUAGAAAUUUUCUUGAAAUGCAGCAUUUUAUUAUUGAUUUCUCACCUUUAUUUUUUCUGUUUCUUCUGGAAUUCCUAUUAAGAUAUUGAC